GGUUUUGCUGUUAGUUACUAGACCAAUUCAAGCAUCCUUUUCAUGUCUACUCUGCAUACAGUUACUGGAACACUGCAUAUACACUGGUAAUAUGGACAGAAGAAGUGUGUAGGAGAUGUAUGAAGAAUGAGUUUUUUGAUAACUGCUGACUGGAUGUUCAUGAAGUAUUAGAGAUUAUUUUGACAAGUAGAUUUAGGUGCACUCCCAGAGAAAAAGUUGCAGUGUCCCAGAGCCACUCGUCUGAGAGUCCCUGGGCAGGGUUAGCCCCUCUGAACAUUGAGCCUCCUGUGCCCUGCAUUACAGAUGCUCUUUUUGGACGCGCAUCUGAAGAGGUGGGUUUUUUACCCACGAAAGCUUAUACCCAAAUAAAUCUGUUAGUCUUUAAGGUGC